rnacentral:rRNA from 1 species
UGACCUCAGAUCAGGCAAGACUACCCGCUGAAUUUAAGCAUAUCAAUAA